CCUAACACAUGCCAGUCAAACGAAGCUUGACGGAUGAUUUCUUCGGAAUGAAACCUGAUAUGUCUUAAUGGCGGACGGGUGAGUAACACGUGAGCAACCUGCCUUUCAGAGGGGGAUAACGGCUGGAAACGGUCGCUAAUACCGCAUGAUGUGUUCGGAUGGCAUCAUCUGAACAUCAAAGAUUUAUCGCUGAAAGAUGGGCUCGCGUCUGAUUAGAUAGUUGGUGGGGUAACGGCCUACCAAGUCUACGAUCAGUAGCCGGACUGAGAGGUUGAACGGCCACCUUGGGACUGAAAUACGGGCCAAACUCCUACGGGAGGCCGCAGUGGGGAAUAUUGCACAAUGGGGGAAACCCUGAUGCAUCAACGCCCCGGAGAAAGAUGACCGGUUUUCGGAUUGCAAACCUCUUAUCUCAAUGACCAAGAAAGUGACGGGUGCUACGGAAAAAACAUCGGCUAACUACCUGCCCGCCGCCCCGGCAAUACGUAAGAAGCAAGCGUUAUCCGGACUUACUGGGUGUAAAGGAGCGCCAGGCGGGACUGCAAGUUGGAUGUGAAAUUCCGUGGCUUAACCCACGGAACUGCAUCCAAAACUGUAGUUCUUGAGUGAAGUAGAGGCAAGCGGAAUCCCGAGUGUAGCGGUGAAAUGCGUAGAUAUUCGGAGGAACACCAGUGGCGAAGGCGGCUUGCUGGGCUUUAACUGACGCUGAGGCUCGAAAGUGUGGGGAGCAAACAGGAUUAGAUACCCUGGUAGUCCACACUGUAAACGAUGAUAGCUAGGUGUGGGGGGUCUGACCCCUUCCGUGCCGGAGUUAACGCAAUAAGCUAUCCACCUGGGGAGUACGACCGCAAGGUUGAAACUCAAAGGAAUUGACGGGGGCCCGCACAAGCAGUGGAUUAUGUGGUUUAAUUCGAAGCAACGCGAAGAACCUUACCAGGUCUUGACAUCCGACUAACGAGAUAGAGAUAUGUCAGGUGCCCUUCGGGGAAAGUCGAGACAGGUGGUGCAUGGUUGUCGUCAGCUCGUGUCGUGAGAUGUUGGGUUAAGUCCCGCAACGAGCGCAACCCCUGCCAUUAGUUGCUACGCAAGAGCACUCUAAUGGGACCGCUACCGACAAGGUGGAGGAAGGUGGGGACGACGUCAAAUCAUCAUGCCCCUUAUGACCUGGGCUACACACGUAAUACAAUGGCCGUUAACAGAGGGAAGCAAAGCGGUGACGCAGAGCAAAACCCUAAAAACGGUCCCAGUUCGGACUGUAGGCUGCAACCCGCCUACACGAAGUUGGAAUUGUUAGUAAUCGCGGAUCAGCAUGCCGCGGUGAAUAAGUUCCCGGCCCUUGUACUCACCGCCCGUCA
rnacentral:rRNA from 1 species